rnacentral:rRNA from 1 species
UUACAGUAUUCUUUUGCC